rnacentral:rRNA from 1 species
UACGAGGGGCCCGAGCGUUAAUCGGAAUCACUGGGCUUAAAGGGUGCGCAGGCGGAUCGGAAAGCGUUCUGUGAAAGCCCCCGGCUCAACCGGGGAACAGCGGGGCGAACUACCGAUCUUGAGGCAGGUAGGGGCAGACGGAACUGUCGGUGGAGCGGUGAAUGCAUAGAUAUCGACAGGAACACCAAUGGCGAAGGCAGUCUGCUGGGCCUGUCCUGACGCUCAGGCACGAAAGCGUGGGGAGCAAACAGG